GGAAUAUAAGAAUCCGUUUCUUAACUUUUAACUAAAAAAAGUUAAGAACGACUCUUAAAUAAUAGACUUAAGAACCGGUUAUUAGCUAUUUUAGUUAAAAGUUAAGAGAAAAUUUCUUAUAUUCC
rnacentral:pre_miRNA from 1 species